rnacentral:rRNA from 1 species
AUUGAACGCUGGCGGCAUGCCUUACACAUGCAAGUCGAACGGCAGCACGGGAGCAAUCCUGGUGGCGAGUGGCGAACGGGUGAGUAAUAUAUCGGAACGUGCCCAGUCGUGGGGGAUAACGUAGCGAAAGCUACGCUAAUACCGCAUACGAUCUAUGGAUGAAAGCGGGGGAUCGCAAGACCUCGCGCGAUUGGAGCGGCCGAUAUCAGAUUAGGUAGUUGGUGAGGUAAAGGCUCACCAAGCCGACGAUCUGUAGCUGGUCUGAGAGGACGACCAGCCACACUGGGACUGAGACACGGCCCAGACUCCUACGGGAGGCAGCAGUGGGGAAUUUUGGACAAUGGCGCAAGCCUGAUCCAGCAAUGCCGCGUGCAGGAUGAAGGCC